rnacentral:tRNA from 1 species
GCCCCGGUCGUAUAGCCCGGUCAAGUAUGCCGGCCUCUCGAGCCGGAGAACCCGGGUUCAAAUCCCGGCCGGGGCACCA